GUAAGGAAUAUUGGUCAAUGGACGCAAGUCUGAACCAGCCAUGCCGCGUGCAGGAAGACGGCCCUACGGGUUGUAAACUGCUUUUGUACCGGAAUAAACCUUUUCACGUGUGAGAAGCUGAAUGUACGGUAAGAAUAAGGAUCGGCUAACUCCGUGCCAGCAGCCGCGGUAAUACGGAGGAUCCAAGCGUUAUCCGGAUUUAUUGGGUUUAAAGGGUGCGUAGGUGGCCUGGUAAGUCAGGGGUGAAAGACGGCAGCUUAACUGUCGCAGUGCCUUUGAUACUGCCGGGCUUGAAUACAGUUGAAGUGGGCGGAAUGUGACAAGUAGCGGUGAAAUGCAUAGAUAUGUCACAGAACACCGAUCGCGAAGGCAGCUCACUAAAGUGUGAUUGACACUGAGGCACGAAAGCGUGGGGAUCAAACAGGAUUAGAUACCCUUGUAGUCC
rnacentral:rRNA from 1 species